UUAAGUUCAGCGGGUAUCCCUACCUGAUCCGAGGUCAAUCGUGGUAAAAUUUGGUUGUUGUCCGGCCGGGACGACGCGGAUUCCUUGUAGCGAUGAUAUGAGUCACUGCGCUAGGAAAUCCGGCCGCACCGCCGCUGCAUUUCGGGAUUGCCCCCGGGGGGGCAGGCUCCCAAUACCAAGCUAGGCUUGAGGGGUGUAAA
rnacentral:misc_RNA from 1 species